rnacentral:rRNA from 1 species
UACGUAGGUGGCAAGCGUUGUUCGGAAUUAUUGGCGUAAAGGGCGCGUAGGCGGCUUGUUAAGUCGGCUGUGAAAGCCCGGGGCUCAACCCCGGGUCUGCCCAUGGCCGACUGUCACGCCUAGAGUACUGUAGGGGCAGGCGGAAUUCCGGGUGUGAGCGGGUGGGAAAUGGCGUAGAGAUCCGGAGGAAGACCGGUGGCGAAGGCGGCCUGCUGGGCGAGUUACUAGACGACUGAUGCGCGACAGCGUGGGGACAAACAGG